rnacentral:lncRNA from 1 species
CACCGGCAGCGACGUCACCUGGGUGCAAUGCCAGCCGUGCGCCGACUGCUACCAGCAGUCCGACCCGGUGUUCGACCCUUCCCUCUCCACCUCCUACGCCUCCGUCGCCUGCGACAACCCGCGCUGCCACGACCUCGACGCCGCCGCCUGCCGCAACUCCACCGGCGCCUGCCUCUACGAGGUCGCGUACGGCGACGGCUCCUACACCGUCGGCGACUUCGCCACCGAGACGCUCACGCUCGGCGACUCCGCCCCGGUCUCCAGCGUCGCCAUAGGCUGCGGCCACGACAACGAGGGGCUGUUCGUCGGCGCGGCGGGGCUGCUUGCCCUCGGCGGCGGGCCACUCUCCUUCCCGUCCCAGAUCUCCGCCACCACCUUCUCCUACU